GGCCUGCUAGCUCAUUCGAUUAGAGCGUCAUGCAAAUAACGUGAAGGUCGUAGGUUCGAUCCCUGCGCAGGCCA
rnacentral:tRNA from 1 species